CUGCUCUGGUGUAAUAAUGCAUGUGCUGUGUCGGUGGCGCCUAAAAACCCCGACGGUCGCGGUUUCGAUUCCCGCUUGGAGUCGAUAUUUGUAUUUAUUUCGAUCUGUUUGUCUGUCCUUGUGGGUCUUCCCAACGUGACUGGAGCUUAGGCUGUUAUAUAUAUUAUAUUGCACCAUCCCGCAUUGGAGCUGCGUGGUGGAUUAAGUUCUGAUCCUUCUGCUAUAUGAGCAAAAGGCCUAUGCCCAGCAGUGAGAUGUUAUAGACUGAAACUAGGCUAUUUCCUUCAACAAAUUAUAUAUGCAAUGAUUGUGCAAGAGCUGAGUGUAUAUUAGAAAUUUCUGUAAAUGUAAUUUGAAACAUCUUUUCUUAUUCCCAAAAAUUAAGAACUAAUUACGCGGUCAACGAUUUCCAUCACCAGAAGAGGCCGUCGAAGAGUAUGAAAAACAAGUUUAUGAGGUCUCCACGGAGGAGUGGCACAAAUGUUUUUAAAAUUGGUUUAAUCGUAUGAAAAAGUGCAUUAAUACUUUGAGAAACAAUAAAUUCAUUUUUGAUUUUUAA